AUCUAUGGCCAUAACACUCUGAACUUGCCCGAUCUCAUCUGAUCUCAGCUGCUAAGCAGGGCCAGGCCUAGUUAGUAGUUGAAUAGAAGAAAUCCCUCCUCUCCAGUGGUACUGCGAUGGUGAGAUGGUAUGAAUG
rnacentral:rRNA from 1 species